rnacentral:rRNA from 1 species
UACGUAGGGUGCAAGCGUUAAUCGGAAUUACUGGGCGUAAAGCGUGCGCAGGCGGUUCUAUAAGACAGAUGUGAAAUCCCCGGGCUCAACCUGGAAACUGCAUUUGUGACUGUAGAGCUGGAGUACGGCAGAGGGGGAUGGAAUUCCGCGUGUAGCAGUGAAAUGCGUAGAUAUGCGGAGGAACACCGAUGGCGAAGGCAAUCCCCUGGGCCUGUACUGACGCUCAUGCACGAAAGCGUGGGGAGCAAACAGG